AAAUUGAAGAGUUUGAUCAUGGCUCAGAUUGAACGCUGGCGGCAGGCCUAACACAUGCAAGUCGAACGGUAACAGGAAGUAGCUUGCUGCUUCGCUGACGAGUGGCGGACGGGUGAGUAAUGUCUGGGAAACUGCCUGAUGG
rnacentral:rRNA from 1 species